GACGAACGCUGGCGGUGUGCUUCACACAUGCAAGUCGAACGAGGUAGCAAUACCUAGUGGCGGACGGGUGAGUAACGCGUGGGAAUCUGCCUUUAGAUGGGGGAUAACGGGCCGAAAGGUCCGCUAAUACCGCAUAUGCCGCAAGGUGAAAGGAGUAAUCCGUCUAAAGAUGAGCCCGCGUCCGAUUAGCUAGUUGGUAGAGUAAGAGCCUACCAAGGCGACGAUCGGUAGCUGGUCUGAGAGGAUGAUCAGCCACAAUGGGACUGAGACACGGCCCAUACUCCUACGGGAGGCAGCAGUGGGGAAUUUUACGCAAUGGGGGAAACCCUGACGUAGCGACACCGCGUGAGCGAAGAAGCCCUUUGGGGUGUAAAGCUCUGUCAGCUGGAACGAAAACAAUGACGGUACCAGCAGAGGAAGCAUCGGCUAACUACGUGCCAGCCGCCGCCGUAA
rnacentral:rRNA from 1 species